GACGAACGCUGGCGGCAUGCCUAAUACAUGCAAGUUGAACGAUGAUAUUCUCUGCUUGCAGAGACUUGAAGAGUAGCGAACGGGUGAGUAACACGUGGGGAACCUGCCCAUGAGAGGGGGAUAACAUUCGGAAACGGAUGCUAAUACCGCAUAAUGCUUUGGACCGCCUGGUCCAGAGACGAAAGACGGCUUUUGCUGUCACUCAUGGAUGGCCCCGCGCCGUAGUAGCUAGUUGGUGAGGUAAUGGCUCACCAAAGCUGUGAUACGUAGCCGACCUGAGAGGGUGAUCGGCCACACUGGGACUGAGACACGGCCCAGACUCCUACGGGAGGCAGCAGUAGGGAAUCUUCCACAUUGGGCGAAAGCCUGAUGGAGCAAUGCCGCGUGAAUGAAGAAGGUCUUCGGAUCGUAAAGUUCUGUUAUUAGAGAAGAACAAGUCAAGGAGUAACUGUCUUGACUUUGACGGUACCUAACCAGAAAGUCACGGCUAACUACGUG
rnacentral:rRNA from 1 species